UAGCUCCAAGGGUUGAAGAUGUGGAGCCCUUUACCUCAAUCUGCCACAGUUUUGGAAAAAGAGUUGAGCAGCUGAGAUGGGCACUAGAGAGGGGCUCAGCAGAACUGCAGCAUCAGGACUAUGGAUGCAUUUCAUCCAUGUUAUGGAUAAUGGCUGCCCUUUAUCACCACCGAACUGAAGCAAUGUAUGGAGAGAUAUCUUGUCCAGGAUGUCACUAUCAAAUCUUAAGGGAAUGAGGAGGUUGAGAAGAUCAUAGUACUGGAGAUUCCCUGAAAGCAGACUUGGAGCUAACAUGCCAACAAGACCUGCUAGAUCACCUUAUUAUUUCAUUUUUCAGA
rnacentral:lncRNA from 1 species